AAGCACGCCAGUAGACCCUUUCUGACUGCACAUAGACUUAAAGGGGGGACAGAGCAUGCAAAAGUAAAAAGGGCUUUGCAAGUUCAAUCAGGGAUAUCCAUAAUACCCGAUGAUCUUGUAGAACCCACACAAAU